UACGUAGGGACCAAGCGUUGUUCGGAUUUACUGGGCGUAAAGGGCUCGUAGGCGGCCAACUAAGUCGGACGUGAAAUCCCCAGGCUCAACCUGGGAACUGCGUCCGAUACUGGAUGGCUUGAAUCCGGGAGAGGGAUGCAGAAUUCCAGGUGUAGCGGUGAAAUGCGUAGAUAUCUGGAGGAAUACCGGUGGCGAAGGCGGCAUCCUGGACCGGCAUUGACGCUGAGGAGCGAAAGCCAGGGGAGCAAACGGG
rnacentral:rRNA from 1 species